AUCAGCUCCUACUGCAAAAGCAAGGGCUGGCAGCGCAUCCAGGACAGCCGCCGGGAUGACUACACGCUGAAGUGGUGUGAGGUCAAGAGCCGAGACAACUACGGCAGCUUCCGGGAAGGUAGCGGGAGCCGGCACCACGGGCGGGCAGCCUGCAGGGGCCUCCUGGGCCGGAGCACAGGGCAGGUUGGAGGGGUGGGGACCGAGGUCCUGCGCUCCCUCCACACGAGCCCUGGCCUCUGACCUCCAGGAGAGCAGCUGCUGUACCAGCUUCCCAACAACAAGCUCCUCACCACCAAGAUUGGGCUGCUCAGCACCCUUCGGGGACGGGCACGGGCCAUGAGCCAGGCCAGCAAGGUGCCGGGGGUGCCCAGGCCAGGCUGGAAAAGGACACAGCAGCGCCCGCCCUGGAGGACCUCCCGUGGACAAGCCCAGGAUACCUCAGGCCACAGAGGGUCCUGAGAAUGGAAGAGUUUUUCCCAGAGACCUAUCGCCUGGACCUCAAACACGAGAGAGAGGCCUUUUUCACUUUGUUUCAUGAAACCCAGAUAUGGAUCUGCAAGCCCACGGCCUCCAACCAGGGCAAAGGCAUCUUCCUGCUCCGGAACCAGGAGGAAGUUGCCGCCCUGCAGGCCAAGACCCGGAGCAUGGAGGACGACCCCAUCCACCACAAGACGCCGUUCCGGGGGCCUCAGGCGCGGGUGGUGCAGAGGUACAUCC
rnacentral:sRNA from 1 species